CCGGAAUCGCUAGUAAUCGCAGAUCAGCAUGCUGCGGUGAAUACGUUCCCGGGUCUUGUACACACCGCCCGUCACACCAUGGGAGUCGGAAAUGCCCGAAGUCAGUGGCCCAACCGCAAGGAGGGAGCUGCCGAAGGCAGGUCCGGUGACUGGGGUGAAGUCGUAACAAGGUAUC
rnacentral:rRNA from 1 species